rnacentral:rRNA from 1 species
AUUGAACGCUGGCGGCAGGCCUAACACAUGCAAGUCGAACGAGUGGCGGACGGGUGAGUAAUGUCUGGGAAACUGCCUGAUGGAGGGGGAUAACUACUGGAAACGGUAGCUAAUACCGCAUACCAUCGGAUGUGCCCAGAGGGGAUUAGCUAGUGGGUGGGGUAACGGCUCACCUAGGCGACGAUCCCUAGCUGGUCUGAGAGGAUGACCAGCCACACUGGAACUGAGACACGGUCCAGACUCCUACGGGAGGCAGCAGUGGGGAAUAUUGCACAAUGGGCGAAAGCCUGAUGUAGCAAUGCCGCGUGUAUGAAGAAGGCCUUCGGGUUGUAAAAUACUUUCAGCGGGGAGGCGUUACCCGCAGAAGAAGCACCGGCUAACUCCGUGCCAGCAGCCGCGGUAAUAC